CCAGGCGUUAUCCGGAUUUAUUGGGUUUAAAGGGAGUGUAGGCGGUUUGUUAAGCGUGUUGUGAAAUUUAGGUGCUCAACAUUUAACUUGCAGCGCGAACUGUCAGACUUGAGUACACGCAACGUAUGCGGAAUUCAUGGUGUAGCGGUGAAAUGCUUAGAUAUCAUGAAGAACUCCGAUUGCGAAGGCAGCAUACGGGAGUGUAACUGACGCUUAAGCUCGAAGGUGCGGGUAUCGAACAGGAUUAGAUACCCUGGUAGUCCGCACAGUAAACGAUGGAUGCCCGCUGUUAGCGCCUGGCGUUAGCGGCUAAGCGAAAGCAUUAAGCAUCCCACCUGGGGAGUACGCCGGCAACGGUGAAACUCAAAGGAAUUGACGGGGGCCCGCACAAGCGGAGGAACAUGUGGUUUAAUUCGAUGAUACGCGAGGAACCUUACCCGGGCUUGAAUUGCAGAGGAAUUAUUUAGAGAUA
rnacentral:rRNA from 1 species